rnacentral:lncRNA from 1 species
CAAUGUUCCUUCCCCCCUCUCUUAAGUCUUCCCACAAAUCUGCUACCAUGCUUCAUUGACAUAGCCAAAGCAUACAAAGAGGGAAAGGAGUUACACAAGGGCUCCUUUGCAUGCCAUCUAUCCGUCCAAAACUUAACCCUUUUGCCAUUACCACCUCAAAGGAGGUUUUACUAAAGAAAAGAUCCCACCCCGUUCCUAA